GCCGGGGUGGCGGAACGGGUAGACGCAGCGGACUUAAAAUCCGCUAGGCCGCAGGCCUGUAGGGGUUCGAGUCCCCUCCCCGGCACCA
rnacentral:tRNA from 1 species